UUGUGUGGCCAAAACUCCUCUUCAAAGCCUGGUCUUGUCAUCUCAGAAGCUAAGCGGGGCUGGGUUUGGUUAGUACUUAGAAGGGAGACCAAUGGGAAAACCAGGUGCCACAGUGG
rnacentral:rRNA from 1 species